rnacentral:rRNA from 1 species
AUUGAACGCUGGCGGCAUGCCUUACACAUGCAAGUCGAACGGCAGCACGGGUGCUUGCACCUGGUGGCGAGUGGCGAACGGGUGAGUAAUACAUCGGAACAUGUCCUGUAGUGGGGGAUAGCCCGGCGAAAGCCGGAUUAAUACCGCAUACGAUCUACGGAUGAAAGCGGGGGACCUUCGGGCCUCGCGCUAUAGGGUUGGCCGAUGGCUGAUUAGCUAGUUGGUGGGGUAAAGGCCUACCAAGGCGACGAUCAGUAGCUGGUCUGAGAGGACGACCAGCCACACUGGGACUGAGACACGGCCCAGACUCCUACGGGAGGCAGCAGUGGGGAAUUUUGGACAAUGGGCGAAAGCCUGAUCCAGCAAUGCCGCGUGUGUGAAGAAGGCCUUCGGGUUGUAAAGCACUUUUGUCCGGAAAGAAAUACUUGGCUCUAAUACAGUCGGGGGAUGACGGUACCGGAAGAAUAAGCACCGGCUAACUACGUU